CGGACUCUUGGAACGACCGUUACUUUUUUCUUCACUCACUUACAGCAACUUUCAACAGAGGAGCUUUUGAAGUAUGAGAAACACUUGUGCAGGAAUAAUGGAAUUAUCUUUGUGAAAGAGGAGGCACAGCUAUCCAGAGAAUAAGUGCUAACAACGAAAGUACCUUGGAUCUAAUGGCUAUGAGUUUGGAAGUGUUGGACAGUCCACGGAACUUGCAAUAUCUAUGACAGCAGACAUCUUACCACUGCUGUCAUAUGUGAGGACACCACUGCUGUUGAAUGUCAGAUAUGAGAACAUCCUGUUGUCAAGUAAGGUCCAAAAGUUGAAAAGGGGCUAACAGCAGCCUCCAUUGUCUACUUUAUUGAGCACCCUCUCCUGAACAAUAUGCUGGCUUUUGCUAGAGUUUGAUAUUGAAUUUUGGUGUAUUUUUAGACUCUUGUCUUUUUUUAAUAGCAUCUAUUUAUCUAUCUAUCUAAAUAAUGGGACUGAUUUGUGCUCUCCUUUUUGAGAUACCCUGAGGAGCAAAGUGGCUUUAUUGAGUUCAUUCAGGUUAUCGUCUUCAAUUUUGAUCAAUGAUGGGAGAAAGCCAUCAAACCCAAGCUACAAAUGAUCUGGAGUGAAGUUAACAGGUUUUGUAGAUUGCCUUAAUAAUUAUAAUUUGGCUUGCAUUGCCUAAAACUCUUCAAAUCACAGAGUUUUAUAUUGAAUGAAUGUAUUCAGUUAUGAGUGUUUGGCACUUAGCUAAAUAAACUGUUUAGAUAUGAGUUCAGUGUGUUAAAACCAAAUUAAAAGGUUUAAGGCAAUCGGUUUCCUGAAAUGAAUUGAGUAGCUACAACAAAGUUUUAAGUUGUCAGAACAAGAAUGGUUAAAGUAGUUUUAAGCCAUCGUUUUUCUCAAAUAUUUUGAGGAAUAAUAUUUUGUUUUACAAUGCACUGUAAAUUAAUUGGAAACUGUAGAAAUGCAAUGCCUCAUUUGAUGUUAGAAUAAACUUAUAACUGUUGGAACUAACUUAUGGUGUAUUUUUAUAUGGUUUGACCAUGUAAAAUGUCUGAAAUAAGAGAAAAUAUAUAUAUAAAAAAAAAACAUUAAAAUGUACAGCAGCA